CAAGCUGUUCAUGAAACUGAAGCAGUGGAAAAAGAUAGAUGAACUGCUGCAGCUGCAGUCAAAUCUUUUGGAGGUUUCCAGUAUGGAGCGAGUGAUGAAGGCCCUUCAGGAACAAGCAGCAACAGUACUAGAGGCAAAGCCACCCACUUUUAUGACUUCUUUUAAGUCACAACAAUAUGAUCUAAUCUGGGACAAGAUUUAUGAAAGCACAGAACUACUUCAGGGAAGAAGAAGUAGUGAUAGUCCUACUACUGCAAUUUUGGCAGCUGAUGAGAAGGACAUGGAAAACAACAUCUUUAGGAAGACUUCCACUUUUUCAAGAAAGAAGAAAGACACAAGCUACUCGCUGCUGGAGUCAGACAAGGACAUGGAGACCAGCAACAAAGACCUCGCUCUGAGGAAAGGAGCCUACCUGUCUCUCGUUUAUUUGCGUCACUUGAGAAUCCGAGAGCUGAAGAGAAUUUGCUUGGGGAUUCUUAAUUACUUCAGAUCUGUGGAAAGAACUGUAACAAUCAGCACUUCAGGCCUUGCCUUGAAUAGCGGCCAUUUGGUCUCCACCGCAGAGGACCCCUGCUGGGUGAAUGCAGCCAAAGGUGGCACUGGCUGCUAUGGUGGUCUUGCUUCACACCCUUACAUGCAUUAUACACCAGCAGACUAUAAGGUUCACAGUGCACAGUUCAUGGAGUUUGCAGAGGUAGAAAAUCAUGAUGAUUUUUAUACUACAGAAGAUCUUUAUAUUCACACACAAGAUCAGCGAGGGGCUUUUGUGAUGUACGAUGUGGCCCUUCAGGAUCUUGAAGAAUUAGAAAAGGAGCUUUUACUUGUGGCAACUCAGUAUAUUGAGGCAGAGAAAGG
rnacentral:lncRNA from 1 species